rnacentral:lncRNA from 1 species
GGUCUCAUUGCGCUUCUGAACUACUCCUUGCUGGUGAGACUAAGAGUGGCAAGGAAGCGGCACCAAACAGCUCAACCGAGCGAGCAACAACCCAAACCUAGAAGUGAGACGAACUAGAAAACAAAGAGCGUCAUGAGAGGCACAACGAGCUCUACCAUAGACGACAAAGGAAGAUGCAACCUCCUAACAACGCACACGCAUGACCACACAGAAACCCUGACCACA